GACGAACGCUGGCGGCGUGCUUAACACAUGCAAGUCGAACGGAAAGGCCCUGCUUUUGUGGGGUGCUCGAGUGGCGAACGGGUGAGUAACACGUGAGUAACCUGCCCUUGACUUUGGGAUAACUUCAGGAAACUGGGGCUAAUACCGGAUAGGAGCUCCUGCUGCAUGGUGGGGGUUGGAAAGUUUCGGCGGUUGGGGAUGGACUCGCGGCUUAUCAGCUUGUUGGUGGGGUAGUGGCUUACCAAGGCUUUGACGGGUAGCCGGCCUGAGAGGGUGACCGGCCACAUUGGGACUGAGAUACGGCCCAGACGCCUACGGGAGGCAGCAGUGGGGAAUAUUGCACAAUGGGCGGAAGCCUGAUGCAGCAACGCCGCGUGCGGGAGGACGGCCUUCGGGUUGUAAACCGCUUUCGCUGUGACGAAGCGUGAGUGACGGUAAUGGGUAAAGAAGCACCGGCUAACUACGUG
rnacentral:rRNA from 1 species